rnacentral:rRNA from 1 species
UAGUACGGCGAGUGAGAGGGAAGAGCCCAAGAUUGAAAGCUGGCGUCUUCGGCGUCCGCAUUGUAAUCUCAAGAAGUGUUUUCCGCUUCGGACCAUGCCUAAGUCCCUUGGAAAAGGGCAUCAUAGAGGGUGAUAAUCCCGUACAUGGCAUGGAGCGCCCGAAGCUUUGUGAUACGCUUUCUACGAGUCGAGUUGUUUGGGAAUGCAGCUCAAAAUGGGUGGUAAAUGCCAUCUAAGGCUAAAUAUUGGGGAGAGACCGAUAGCGAACAAGUACAGUGAUGGAAAGAUGAAAAGAACUUUGAAAAGAGAGUUAAACAGUACGUGAAAUUGCCAAAAGGGAAGGGUAGGAGGUCAGAGAUGCGUCUUGGGAUUCAGCCUUGCUUUUGCAUGGUGUUUUUCCCAAGUUGCAGGCCAACGUCGGUUUUGGGCACUGGAGAAGGGUAGGAGGAACGUGGCACCUCUCGGGGUGUGUUAUAGCCUCCUACUGGAUACAGCGACCGAGACCGAGGAACGCAGCGUACUCGUAAGAGCGGGCCUUUUGGCACCUUUACGCUUAGGGCGUUGGCAUAAUGGCCCUCUACCACCCGUCUUGAAACACGGACCAGGGGGGCCCGUCUUGAAACAC